rnacentral:lncRNA from 1 species
AAUGUCUUUAAUAUCUAUGAUUUAAUACUUAUUAUUCAACUAACUGCAUGUCUCUGGACUGUGGGAGGAAGCCAGACUACCAAGAGAAAACUGAAAACUGCUUGUAUAUAACAGGAGUCUGAUCUGACUUACAGCUUCAAAGCCCAGAACACCAUCACAGCUGAGCCUGGACAGGCUGUAGUUCUACCAUGUCGAGUUCCAUCAGACAAAAUCAUGCAAGGUAUGAAGUGGAACAGAGCUGACCUGGGAGAUAAUUAUGUGCUUUUUUUCCGGGAUGACCGGCUGGAUCCAGAUGGUCAGCAUCCAUCUUUUAAGAACCGGGUGGAUCUGCAGGACAGGAAUAUGAAUAAUGGAGACGUGUCUCUGGUUCUGAAGAAUGUGACGACUGCUGAUGAUGGAUCAUACAAUUGUAAUAUUUUCAACAAAGUGACAAAAUCAUGGGAGAGCAUCAACACUGUCAGCCUGACUGUUUCAGGUCAGACAGCAGAACUCACAGUUGCACCUGUUGGACUCAUCGCUGGUCUGAGUGUUCCUGCUGUGAUUCUUGUUGCUGCUGCUGUUGGUUUUGUGUGCUACAGAAAACAUAAAAAACAGAACCGGGAUUUUAACUAG